GUGUCCCUACGGGGCGCAGCAGUCGGGAAUAUUGCGCAAUGGAGGAAACUCUGACGCAGUGACGCCGCGUAUAGGAAGAAGGUUUUCGGAUUGUAAACUAUUGUCAUUAGGGAAGAUAAAAGACUGUACCUAAGGAGGAAGCCCCGGCUAACUAUGUGACAGCAGCCGCGGUAAUACAUAGGGGGCAAGCGUUAUCCGGAUUUACUGGGUGUAAAGGGAGCGUAGACGGCAUGGCAAGUCAGAUGUGCA
rnacentral:rRNA from 1 species